rnacentral:rRNA from 1 species
UACAGAGGGUGCAAACGUUGUUCGGAAUGACUGGGCGUAAAGCGCGUGUAGGCGGCUCUGCAAGUCGGAUGUGAAAUCCCACGGCUCAACCAUGGAAGUGCAUUCGAAACUGCAGGGCUAGAGUUCUGGAGAGGAAGGUGGAAUGCUUGGUGUAGAGGUGAAAUUCGUAGAUAUCAAGCGGAACACCGGUGGCGAAGGCGGCCUUCUGGACAGUAACUGACGCUGAGACGCGAAAGCGUGGGGAGCAAACAGG